UGGGGAAUUUUGGACAAUGGGCGAAAGCCUGAUCCAGCAAUGCCGCGUGUGUGAAGAAGGCCUUCGGGUUGUAAAGCACUUUUGCUCGGAAAGAAAUCCUUGGCUCUAAUACAGUCGGGGGAUGACGGUACCGGAAGAAUAAGCACCGGCUAACUACGUGCCAGCAGCCGCGGUAAUACGUAGGGUGCAAGCGUUAAUCGGAAUUACUGGGCGUAAAGCGUGCGCAGGCGGUUUGCUAAGACCGAUGUGAAAUCCCCGGGCUCAACCUGGGAACUGCAUUGGGUGACUGGCAGGCUAGAGUAUGGCAGAGGGGGGUAGAAUUCCACGUGUAGCAGUGAAAUGCGUAGAGAUGUGGAGGAAUACCGAUGGCGAAGGCAGCCCCCCUGGGCCAAUACUGACGCUCAUGCACGAAAGGCGUGGGGAGCAAACAGGAUUAGAUACCCUGGUAGUCCACGCCCUAAACGAUGUCAACUAGUUGUUGGGGAUUCAUUUCCUAGUAACGUAGCUAACGCGUGAAGUUGACCGCCUGGGGAGUACGGUCGCAAGAUUAAAACUUAAAUGAAUUGACGGGGUCAUAGCUGUUUCCU
rnacentral:rRNA from 1 species